UGGGGAAUUUUGGACAAUGGGCGAAAGCCUGAUCCAGCAAUGCCGCGUGUGUGAAGAAGGCCUUCGGGUUGUAAAGCACUUUUGUCCGGAAAGAAAUCCUUGGCUCUAAUACAGUCGGGGGAUGACGGUACCGGAAGAAUAAGCACCGGCUAACUACGUGCCAGCAGCCGCGGUAAUACGUAGGGUGCAAGCGUUAAUCGGAAUUACUGGGCGUAAAGCGUGCGCAGGCGGUUUGCUAAGACCGAUGUGAAAUCCCCGGGCUCAACCUGGGAACUGCAUUGGUGACUGGCAGGCUAGAGUAUGGCAGAGGGGGGUAGAAUUCCACGUGUAGCAGUGAAAUGCGUAGAGAUGUGGAGGAAUACCGAUGGCGAAGGCAGCCCCCUGGGCAAUACUGACGCUCAUGCACGAAAGCGUGGGGAGCAAACAGGAUUAGAUACCCUGGUAGUCCACGCCCUAAACGAUGUCAACUAGUUGUUGGGGAUUCAUUCCUUAGUAACGUAGCUAACGCGUGAAGUUGACCGCCUGGGGAGUACGGUCGCAAGAUUAAAACUUAAAGGAAUUGACGGGGUCAUAGCUGUUUCCU
rnacentral:rRNA from 1 species